CCCUUAGAUGUUCUGGGCUGCACGCGCGCUACACUGAAGCUAUCAACACGUUUUCCCUCCCUGAGAAGGGCGGGUAACCUUUUGAAUCAGCUUCGUGGUAGGGAUCGGGGCUUGCAAUUGUUCCCCGUGAACCAGGAAUUCCUAGUAGACGCGAGUCAUAAGCUCGCAUCGAUUAAGUCCCUGCCCUUUGUACACACCGCCCGUCGCUACUACCGAUUGAACGUUUUAGUGAGGUAUUUGGACCGACGCAUCUCAGUUUAACCGCUGGUUUGUGUUGGAAAGACUUCCAAACUUGAGCGUUUAGAGGAAGUAAAAGUCGUAACA
rnacentral:rRNA from 1 species